CCAUAGCUCAGUUGGUAGUAGCGCAUGACUGUUAAUCAUGAUGUCGUAGGUUCGAGUCCUACUGG
rnacentral:tRNA from 19 species